CGGGGGAGCAAGCGUUGUUCGGAUUUACUGGGCGUAAAGGGCGCGUAGGCGUCAGCACAAGUCAGUUGUGAAAUCUCCGAGCUUAACUCGGAAAGGUCAACUGAUACUGUGCGACUAGAGUGCAGAAGGGGCAACUGGAAUUCUCGGUGUAGCGGUGAAAUGCGUAGAUAUCGAGAGGAACACCUGCGGCGAAGGCGGGUUGCUGGGCUGACACUGACGCUGAGGCGCGAAAGCUAGGGGAGCGAACGGGAUUAGAUACCCCGGUAGUCCUAGCCUUAAACGAUGAAUGCUUGGUGUCUGGGGUUAUAUAGUCCCCGGGUGCCGUCGCUAACGCUUUAAGCAUUCCGCCUGGGGAGUACGGUCGCAAGACUG
rnacentral:rRNA from 1 species